UAAGGAAUAUUGCGCAAUGGGCGACAGCCUGACGCAGCGACGCCGCGUGGGGGAUGAAGGUCUUCGGAUUGUAAACCCCUUUCGGCAGGGAAGAUGGAACGGGUAACCGUUCGGACGGUACCUGCAGAAGCAGCCACGGCUAACUUCGUGCCAGCAGCCGCGGUAAUACGAAGGUGGCAAGCGUUGUUCGGAUUUACUGGGCGUACAGGGAGCGUAGGCGGUUGGGUAAGCCCUCCGUGAAAUCUCCGGGCCUAACCCGGAAAGUGCGGAGGGGACUGCUCGGCUAGAGGAUGGGAGAGGAGCGCGGAAUUCCCGGUGUAGCGGUGAAAUGCGUAGAGAUCGGCAGGAAGGCCGGUGGCGAAGGCGGCGCUCUGGAACAUAUCUGACGCUGAGGCUCGAAAGCGUGGGGAGCAAACAGGAUUAGAUACCCACGUAGUCCCUGAGCGGGCUGGCAAGGCGCAU
rnacentral:rRNA from 1 species